AGUCAUACACUUCUGGUGCCAUGUAGAUAUCUGUGCCAACAAUUUGAAAACCAGUGAUCUCUGCUUGCCGUUUGGCUGUUGCAAAGUCUGCAAUUCGAACAUCCUUGUUUGCUGUCAACUAAACAUAAAACGUUAGUACACCAACAAUACUGACAGAUAGGUUUGUUGUUACCAUGACAUUCUCAGGUUUGAGAUCUCGAUGAAUCAUGCUACGUGCGUGAAGAUCUUUUGUCUUCUGCUUGUUGUUGGGACAUUGAUAUAAAGUCAGCAAGACUUCCUCCACCACACCAUUCAAACAGUAGUCCAAGCUUCAGACAAGGUGAAGGAGACAGCAUGAUUGAGCCAUACAACUUUACUAAAUUUGUGUCUUUGAGUUGACUGUAAAUAAAGAAACAUCUACUCAAUUAUUUCUUUAUAUUUCUGCUAAUGUAAAGUACCUGCAGUUGCAAAAUUCUUUCAUAAAAUCA